rnacentral:rRNA from 1 species
UACGUAGGUGGCAAGCGUUGUCCGGAAUUACUGGGUGUAAAGGGGGCGCAGGCGGGAAGCUAAGUUGGAUGUGAAAUACCGGGGCUCAACUCCGGAGCUGCAUCCAAAACUGAUUUUCUUGAGUGGAGUAGAGGCAAGCGGAAUUCCGAGUGUAGCGGUGAAAUGCGUAGAUAUUCGGAGGAACACCAGUGGCGAAGGCGGCUUGCUGGGCUCUAACUGACGCUGAGGCCCGAAAGCGUGGGGAUCAAACAGGAUUAGAUACCCGCGUAGUCCCU